GCAGGAUGAAUAUUAAAGUAUGCCACCUGCCAAACAAAAGGGUUUUGCCGGUGGUAGAAACACAAACAAAGCCAGACUUAACUCUUCUGACCCUCUCACUACACCGUGCAGUACUCACCUGAAUCACUCGGUGGA